GAGUAACGCGUGGGUAACCUGCCUUAUACAGGGGGAUAACAGUUAGAAAAUGACUGCUAAUACCGCAUAAGCGCACAGUACCGCAUGGUACAGUGUGAAAAACUCCGGUGGUAUAAGAUGGACCCGCGUCUGAUUAGCCAGUUGGCGGGGUAACGGCCCACCAAAGCGACGAUCAGUAGCCGACCUGAGAGGGUGACCGGCCUCAUUGGGACUGAGACACGGCCCAAACUCCUACGGGAGGCAGCAGUGGGGAAUAUUGCACAAUGGGGGAAACCCUGAUGCAGCAACGCCGCGUGAGUGAAGAAGUAUUUCGGUAUGUAAAGCUCUAUCAGCAGGGAAGAAGAUGACGGUACCUGACCAAGAAGCCCCGGCUAACUACGUGCCAGCAGCCGCGGUAAUACGUAGGGGGCAAGCGUUAUCCGGAUUUACUGGGUGUAAAGGGAGCGCAGACGGCAGUGCAAGUCUGGAGUGAAAGCCCGGGGCCCAACCCCGGAACUGCUCUGGAAACUGUGCGGCUAGAGUACUGGAGGGGCAGGCGGAAUUCCUAGUGUAGCGGUGAAAUGCGUAGAUAUUAGGAGGAACACCAGUGGCGAAGGCGGAUUGCUGGACAGUAACUGACGCUGAGGCGCGAAAGCGUGGGGAGCAAACAGGAUUAGAUACCCUGGUAGUCCACGCUGUAAACGAUGGAUACUUGGUGUGGGGGGUCUGACCCCUUCAGUACCGCAUUUAACACAGUAAGUAUCCCGCCUGGGGAGUACCAUUCGCAAGGUCGCAACUCAAAUGAAUUGACGGGGACCCGCACAGGCGAUGGCGCAUGUGGUUUAAUCCGAAGCAACGCGAAGAACCUUACCAAGUCUUGACAUCUGGAUGACAGGGACGUAACGGUCCUCUUACUUCGAUACAUCCAAGACAGGUGGUGCAUGGUUGUCGUCAGCUCGUGUCGUGAGAUGUUGGGUUAAGUCCCGCAACGAGCGCAACCCUUAUUUUCAGUAGCCAGCAGGUAAAGCCGGGCACUCUGGAGAGACUGCCGGGGAUAACCCGGAGGAAGGUGGGGAUGACGUCAAAUCAUCAUGCCCCUUAUGAUUUGGGCUACACACGUGCUACAAUGGCGUAAACAGAGGGAAGCGAGCCCGCGAGGGGGAGCAAAUCCCAAAAAUAACGUCCCAGUUCGGAUUGUAGUCUGCAACCCGACUACAUGAAGCUGGAAUCGCUAGUAAUCGCGGAUCAGAAUGCCGCGGUGAAUACGUUCCCGGGUCUUGAAAUCACCGCCCGUCA
rnacentral:rRNA from 1 species